UACGUAGGCAGCGAGCGUUGUUCGGAGUUACUGGGCGUAAAGGGUGUGUAGGCGGUUGUUUAAGUUCGGUGUGAAAUCUCCCGGCUCAACUGGGAGGGUGCGCCGAAUACUGAAUGACUAGAGUGCGGGAGAGGAGAGUGGAAUUCCUGGUGUAGCGGUGAAAUGCGUAGAUAUCAGGAGGAACACCGGUGGUGUAGACGGCUCUCUGGACCGUAACUGACGCUGAGACACGAAAGCGUGGGUAGCAAACAGG
rnacentral:rRNA from 1 species